GAAAUGCGAUAAGUAAUGUGAAUUGCAGAAUUCAGUGAAUCAUCGAAUCUUUGAACGCACCUUGCGCUCCUUGGUAUUCCUCGGAGCAUGCCUGUUUGAGUAUCAUGAAAUUCUCAAAGCAAAUCUUUCGUUAAUUCGAUGGACUUUGCUUUGGACUUGGAGGUCUGCAGGUUUAAACGUCUGCUCCUCUUGAAUGCAUUAGCUGGAUCUCAGUGAACUUGGUUCCACUCGGCGUGAUAAGUAUCACUCGCUGAGGACACCUGUAAAAAAAGGUGGCCAGGAUUGCGGAUGAACCGCUUCUAAUGGUCUAUUGAUUUAGACAAUAAAAUUUAUGAUCUGAUCUCAAAUCAGGUAGGACUACCCGCUGAACUUAA
rnacentral:misc_RNA from 1 species